UCAAUCAAAUCUUCCAACAUUUUCAACACUAAUUUACAAAAAAUUAAAAAUACCAAAAACCAACACAAACGUUAAUAAAAAUACAAUCUUGAAACUAAAAUAUUCAAUAAAUAUUAAAAAAAAUAUUUUUAUUUUAUUUUUUUUACCUGAGUUGCAUGAAACUGUAACUUUAAUACAACUUUGAUCUUGUUCUUCUCACUCCUCCAUCUAGCUGACUUAAACAUUUUCUUUUUUCCACUUUUACCCUCACUUCAACUCAUUUAUUACAAAACCCAAUUCACAAAUUCUCACCGGAGCUCACCCUUUCCGGUCACCGGAGCUCCGGCUACUCUACCGGAAAAUCACCAUAAGCUAAAAAAAACCACCAAUUUCAAUAAAAUAAAAAAUACCCAAAUCGUAUUUUUCACUGUAAAACACAAAAAUGAAGAAAAAAUUGAUAGAAAUGAGUCAAAAAUACAAUUUUUUUAAUUUUUUUUGGAUUUUUGGGAUUGAAAAGUGAUGAAUUUUGAUGAAUUAAUGGGUUAAGAAGGGAGAAUAGGGUAGAUCUGAAGUGGGUUUGGAGGAUUUAAUGGAGUUUUUUGGAAGAUUUUACACACACACACAGUUGUUCUAUGGUUCUCUCUAUUAUAUCUUUUUUGCAUGUAAUAGUUUAAUAUAAUAUUCAUAUAAUAUAUUCUUUAAAAAAAAAAAAAAAAACUUU
rnacentral:lncRNA from 1 species